ensembl:lncRNA
CUUUAUCACGGCCAGGCAUGGGUGGAAACCCAAGUUCUCCACUCAGCCUUCACGGUCCCCAGAGGAGUCCUCAUUAUUGCUAGCAGGGGUGGAGUUAGGGACGUCCACUGAGACCUCCCCGGAGUGGUGGGUCGGCGCCAUUACCAUUCCCCGCAUGACCCGGAUGAUGGCGGGGUGGAGGAGGAGUCAGGAGUGGUUGCCUGAUUAGUUCCGGAAACUGGCGGAAAUGCUGGCUGUCCGUGUAGCAUCGCCUGGCACUGCCUCUGAGGGGGAGGAAAAAAGGUUUCGUUAUGGCUGGAUGGGGUGGAAGCCUAGGCUUUUGGAGUGGAACGCUGGAACAAUGAGCAAGAGGCUUCUCUGGCGAAGGUGAAGUCCCGAACCAGGCAGAGAGGCCUGGGGGACACACCCCUGCUGUGUCCGAGGUGCCACAUGCUGUCGCUUGCUCUUUUGCCAGAACUGGACUUUCCCCCACCGACACCUGCUAAGCCACUUCUGUUCCCCAGAACUUCGCCUUUUUACCGCUGCUUCACCAAAGCCAGUUGCUGCUUCUUGUUUCCACUGACCUUUGCCAGCAAAAUGAACACAGCUUGGGCCCCGUUUCCUCCCACUGCACACUUGUGAACGGAAGUCUCAGGUGCAUGAAUCUGCCUGGUUAUGCAUUCACAACCUUGCCCUGCUUUGUCAGGCAGAGAUGAGGAUGGCCUGCAAGUCCUUCCUCCAGGAGUCACCUUACAAGCGUCUUCCUCACACAGGUCUGGCAGGGCCCCAUAGGACAGUGAGCAGGAGGGGACGCAUUGCCAGGAGCCGACUGCCGGGUCACAGGGUGUCUGUGCACACAUUUUUAUCAAGAAUCGUGAAAUUCUCUCCAGAACGGCUGCGUCACUUCCAUUUUAUCGGCUGUGGGCUGGGGCUCUUCUACCCCUACUUCCUCACCAACAUUUUUCAGUAUGAGGGAUGAAGGAAGAUUUUUCAUUAUGUACAUUGCCACAGGUACUUUUGGAAUAUAACUCUCACCAAAUUAAAAAAAAUUAUUUGAUUUCUGG